rnacentral:rRNA from 1 species
UACGUAGGGUGCAGGCGUUAAUCGGAAUUACUGGGCGUAAAGCGUGCGCAGGCGGCUCCUUAAGUCAGAUGUGAAAUCCCCGGGCUUAACCUGGGAACUGCGUUUGAAACUGAGGGGCUAGAGUGUGGAGGAGGGGGGUGGAAUUCCAGGUGUAGCGGUGAAAUGCGUAGAUAUCUGGAGGAAUACCGGUGGCGAAGGCGGCAUCCUGGACCGAGAUUGACACUGAUGAGCGAAAGCUAGGGGAGCAAACGGG